AGAGUUUGAUCCUGGCUCAGAUUGAACGCUGGCGGAAUGCUUUACACAUGCAAGUCAAACGGCAGCACGGGAGCUUGCUCCUGGUGGCGAGUGGCGAACGGGUGAGUAAUGCGUCGGAACGUACCGAGUAAUGGGGGAUAACGCGGCGAAAGUCGCGCUAAUACCGCAUACGCCCUGAGGGGGAAAGCGGGGGAUCGCAAGACCUCGCGUUAUUCGAGCGGCCGACGUCUGAUUAGCUAGUUGGUGGGGUAAAGGCUCACCAAGGCGACGAUCAGUAGCGGGUCUGAGAGGAUGAUCCGCCACACUGGGACUGAGACACGGCCCAGACUCCUACGGGAGGCAGCAGUGGGGAAUUUUGGACAAUGGGGGCAACCCUGAUCCAGCCAUUCCGCGUGAGUGAAGAAGGCCUUCGGGUUGUAAAGCUCUUUCAGCUGGAGCGAAACGGUACGCUCUAACAUAGCGUGCUAAUGACGGUACCAGCAGAAGAAGCACCGGCUAACUACGUGCCAGCAGCCGCGGUAAUACGUAGGGUGCGAGCGUUAAUCGGAAUUACUGGGCGUAAAGCGUGCGCAGGCGGAUUGUUAAGCAAGACGUGAAAUCCCCGGGCUUAACCUGGGAAUGGCGUUUUGAACUGGCAGUCUAGAGUGCGUCAGAGGGGGGUGGAAUUCCACGUGUAGCAGUGAAAUGCGUAGAGAUGUGGAGGAACACC
rnacentral:rRNA from 1 species